GUGGGGAAUCUUCCGCAAUGGACGAAAGUCUGACGGAGCAACGCCGCGUGAGUGAUGACGGCCUUCGGGUUGUAAAGCUCUGUGAUCGGGGACGAAUGGCUGGUAUGCUAAUACCAUAUCAGAGUGACGGUACCCGAAUAGCAAGCCACGGCUAACUACGUGCCAGCAGCCGCGGUAAUACGUAGGUGGCAAGCGUUGUCCGGAAUUAUUGGGCGUAAAGCGCGCGCAGGCGGCUUCUUAAGUCCAUCUUAAAAGUGCGGGGCUUAACCCCGUGAUGGGAUGGAAACUGGGAGGCUGGAGUAUCGGAGAGGAAAGUGGAAUUCCUAGUGUAGCGGUGAAAUGCGUAGAUAUUAGGAAGAACACCAGUGGCGAAGGCGACUUUCUGGACGAAAACUGACGCUGAGGCGCGAAAGCCAGGGGAGCGAACGGGAUUAGAAACCCGAGUAGUCC
rnacentral:rRNA from 1 species